rnacentral:rRNA from 1 species
AAUGCAGCCUGUUGGGACCGAGGACCGCGCUUCGGCUAGGAUGCUGGCGUAAUGGUUGUAAGCGACCCGUCUUGAAACACGGACCAAGGAGUCA